UAUACAACAUUUAUCUUUCAGCGCAUAAAAUAAAAAAUGGCUUCAACAACGUAAUAAAGGAAACCUAAUAAAGUGGAUAAUUUUAGUCGACACUGAAAGAUAAUAUAAUGACUUUUCUGAAUUAAAUUUAUUGUGGACGCAUGAUAGUAUGCUUAGUGUUUGCAGUUGUCUUAAGAUUAAAUCAUUUUAUUUAACAAGUGGUUAUUAUAGCAAGGAUAGUUUCUUAUAAAUGCAUAGUCUCCUGAACUGUUGAUCCUGUUCUUAGAAUCUCUGCCAUACACCGUUUCCUAUUUUUACUUUUGCAAUAUUCUGAAGUUUAAAAGCAUUCAAAAAAUAUGUUGUCAUGGAUAAAGCUUGAAGGAGGAUUGUGACCAUAUUUCACAAAUGCUUAUCAAAAUGUUAAAACAUGUAACAUUCAGCAAUAUACCAACAGGCUUGGAUCUCAUGACAAGCAUAAUGUUUUUAAAUAACGUUAAUAAAAUUCUCAAUAGUAAA